rnacentral:rRNA from 1 species
UACGUAGGGCGCAAGCGUUACCCGGAAUUAUUGGGCGUAAAGAGCUCGUAGGCGGUUUGUCGCGUCUGCCGUGAAAGUCCGGGGCUCAACUCCGGAUCUGCGGUGUGUACGGGCAGACUAGAGUGAUGUAGGGGAGACUGGAAUUCCUGGUGUAGCGGUGAAAUGCGCAGAUAUCAGGAGGAACACCGAUGGCGAGGGCAGGUCUCUGGGCAGUAACUGACGCUGAGGAGCGAAAGCGUGGGGAGCGAACAGG